UGGCCACAUCACAUUGAAGUACCGGUUCCUGUACGGCCACCGAAGUUAAGCAACGUCCAACCUGGUUAGUACCUAGAUGGGUGACCGCUAGGAAAUGCUAGGUGCUGCAUGC